rfam:Schistosoma rodhaini strain Burundi genome assembly, scaffold: SROB_scaffold0000728
AUCCAGUCGAUGAGUCCUAAAUAAGACGAAACGCGCGUCCUGGAU